CGCCGCGUGAAUGAUGAAGGCCUUCGGGUCGUAAAAUCCUGUCAUAUGGGAAGAAAUGUGUGAUGGUUAAUACCCAUUGCAUUUGACGGUACCAUCAGAGGAAGCCCCGGCUAACUCCGUGCCAGCAGCCGCGGUAAUACAGAGGGUGCAAGCGUUGUUCGGAAUUACUGGGCGUAAAGCGCGCGUAGGCGGUUUGUUAAGUCAGAUGUGAAAGCCCAGGGCUCAACCCUGGACGUGCAUUUGAAACUGGCAGACUUGAGUAUUGGAGGGGGUGGUGGAAUUCCCGGUGUAGAGGUGAAAUUCGUAAAUAUCGGGAGGAAUACCGGUGGCAAAGGCGACCACCUGGCCAAAUACUGACGCUGAGGUGCGAAAGCGUGGGGAGCAAACAGGAUUAAAUACCCUGGUAGUCCACGCCGUAAACAAUGACAACUAGGUGUUGGGACGGUUGAUCGUCUCAUUGCCGCAGCUAACGCAUUAAGUUCUCCGCCUGGGGA
rnacentral:rRNA from 1 species